rnacentral:rRNA from 1 species
CGACCGCUGGCGGCGUGCUUAACACAUGCAAGUCGCACGGAAAGGCCCUGCUUGCAGGGUGCUCGAGUGGCGAACGGGUGAGUAACACGUGGGUGAUCUGCCCCUUACUUUGGGAUAAGCCUGGGAAACUGGGUCUAAUACUGGAUAGGACCAUGCUGUAGGUGGUGUGGUGGAAAGAUUAGUUUCGGUAAGGGAUGAGCUCGCGGCCUAUCAGCUUGUUGGUGGGGUAAUGGCCUACCAAGGCGUCGACGGGUAGCCGGCCUGAGAGGGUGGACGGCCACAUUGGGACUGAGAUACGGCCCAGACUCCUACGGGAGGCAGCAGUGGGGAAUAUUGCACAAUGGGCGCAAGCCUGAUGCAGCGACGCCGCGUGGGGGAUGACGGCCUUCGGGUUGUAAACUCCUUUCAGCCAUGACGAAGCCCUUGUGGUGACGGUAGUGGUAGAAGAAGCACCGGCUAACUACGUG